GACGUAGGAUGCAAGCGUUGUUCGGAAUUAUUGGGCGUAAAGCGUGCGUAGGCGGCUAUUUAAGUCUGGUGUUAAAGCUAGGGGCUCAACCCCUGUGUUGCACUGGAAACUGGGUAGCUUGAGUGCGGUAGGGGAAGGUGGAAUUCCGAGUGUAGCGGUGAAAUGCGUAGAUAUUCGGAAGAACACCGGUGGCGAAGGCGACCUUCUGGGCCGCCACUGACGCUGAGGCACGAAAGCGUGGGGAGCAAACGGG
rnacentral:rRNA from 1 species